rfam:Megasphaera sp. DJF_B143 contig_9, whole genome shotgun sequence.
GCGUCAUCAAGAGCAGCGGAGGGACUGGCCCGGUGAAGCUGCGGCAACCUGCCGGAAGGUAAGGUGCCAAUUCCAGCAGGAUUAAACCUGGAAGAUGAGAC